UUUAUUUGCUUGGUCCAGAACCACUAGUUGUGCUUCUAUCAAAUCCUUUGAAUUGUUGACUUUGAGUACUCUUUAUACUGUAAUGACGAAUGGCAAUGGUCAUGGAUUUAUGGUGACUGAUAGAUGGUUGAAGGUUGAUCUGUGAGAAUCAAGUUUAAAAAAGAUGGUAGUGUGUGUUGGGUCUGAUGAUGACCAUGGUGAUGGUCUUGGGAGUUCUCUUUUUCUUCUUCUCUUACUCAACUCCCUCUUAACUUCCCCUUAAAACCGUUCUCCACCUCUUUUUAAUUCUCUCUUCUCGCCCCGGUAACUGCUCAUGGGAGCAAUUUGUAAACCCCCAACGUGGUGGGUAAAAUAACAUUUAAGCCCCUCCACGUUUUAGCCCCUUUAUACUUAAAAACAAUUAAUCACUUAAUGCCCCA
rnacentral:lncRNA from 1 species